rnacentral:rRNA from 1 species
AACGUAGGUUCCGAGCGUUAUCCGGAUUUACUGGGCGUAAAGCGCGUUCAGGCGGUUCGGCAAGUCGGGCAUGAAAUCUCUCGGCUCAACCGGGAGAGGUUGUCCGAUACUGCUGGACUUGAGGGCAGUAGAGGGUGGUGGAAUUCCGGGUGUAGUGGUGAAAUGCGUAGAUAUCCGGAGGAACACCAGUGGCGAAAGCGGCCACCUGGACCGGCAUUGACGCUGAACAGCGAAAGCCAGGGGAGCAAACGGG